AUUGCUUCUCGGCCUUUUGGCUAAGAUCAAGUGUAGAAAACAGUUACCCACUGCCAUAAAUUCUCUACCCUGCAAAAAAGAGAAAUGGAUGUUUUGGUGAAUCUUUGUCAUUCACCAUUUUUUUCUAUCACAUUUUCUUGUGGAAAUGUAUUCCCUUUUCUGCAGAAAGAAAGCAAGAAUUUUUCCUAU